ensembl:lncRNA
UUCCCCUGUCUCUCUCUCUUCCCCUUCCCCUAAACCUGUUCCUGUUCCCAGGACCCGAUUUGCUGGGCCACCUAGGGCCCCACCCGUGGAGUGGGGUUGCCUCAGCUGGAGGGGACUGACGAGGCUCCUACUGCCUCCCCACGCCAAUCGUUUGACCCACUUCCUGCUACUAGGGCGGCGGGAAGGCCUGGGCCGGCCUGUUGGCGUUGCGGGGAUCCGGGCCAUUUCGUGGAUCGGUGCCCGGUCAUGGAGGUGGGGACGUUGGUCCGGAUCCCGGACGACCCGCAGGCUGCCCCCGAUCAAGCCGGGUUGUACCAAAUACCCGUGAGUAUUAAGGGGGGUACCUAUCAGGCUUUGGUGGAUUCAGGUUGUAACCAGACCUCCAUCCAUCAAAGCCUGAUACAAUCUGGGGCAUUGGAUACGGGCCGCAUGGUUAAGGUGAGGUGUGUGCACGGGGAUAUAGUGGAAUACCCGGUAAAAGCCAUAUCCAUCAAAUUUAGGGGUCAAAAGCAUUGUGUGGAGGUGGCAGUUAGCCCGCGCCUCCGGCAUCCGCUAAUUUUGGGAACCAAUUGGCCAGCUUUUGAACAGUUAUUGGGGUGUUUAACAGCGGGUGUCUCUGGGGAGAGAGGACCAGGCCUGGGUUUUAUUUUGUGUUUGGUUUUUGUUUGUGCGCGGCAGUCGCCCGUGAGGGGCUGUCGCGCUGUUUUAUGUUUAUUUGGUUAUUAAAGUUUGAUUUGAAUGUUCGCCGGUUCCCGCCUCCUUCUUCCCGUAAUUAUGGAGUAUUAUUAUUACAGUACUCUUCAUGUAUUUCUUCUAAAGCAGCAGCAAUUACAUCGAAUGUGUGUGAUCCUGCCAUCCGCCUGCAAGCCAAGGCUGCUGAACAGCUCUCUAAAGAUGUACUGUUUAUCCAGUAGCAGGUUAACCCCGAAGUAACUGCGCUGCCUGGCUGACCAGCAGUCUGCAGUUGUAGCAACGUACUCAGCAUUGUUUAAUUUUUGGAUAAGUGCAC